rnacentral:lncRNA from 1 species
GUAACUGGGUGGCAGGCAUUAAGGAGGUUGUUAUAAGCACCAGCUGGGUGUUAUACUAUAUACUGGCAAACUGAAUUUAAAUUUUAAAAAAAUGAAAUGAGUCUUUUGUAGGCUAUAUUCUAUUACUAAUUUUUUUCUUUCAGGCAGUAAUGGGACAAAUUAUAAAGAAAAUAUUCAUUACAUUCAAUACUUUAACUUCAUUCUUGAGAAUUUGUCCUAAGAAAUUAUUUUUAAAAUCACUAAGUUAUAGAUUUUUUUUAAAUGAAAAGGAUAAUAAAUAUGGGUUGUGAUGGGGGAGCAGGGCCAGCUGAGGACAAAGCACAACCCCAGGGCAGCACAUUGACAAGUCCUUGAAACAGGCAGAGGGACCUUCCUCUACGGACUCAACUGCCUCGAGGUUCAUACUUUGCUGAGGACAACAGGCAAUCUGAGCCCGACCCCCAGGAACCUGUAAGUCUACUUUAACAUAUUAUAGAAAUUCCUUUAGAAAGUUCCUUUAUCUCUACCCCCCAAGAUACAUGCUGGCGAUCAUCCCCCAAGCAUAUGGCCCACGGAUACACAUCUGAAGGGUCUCAUGACUCAGGUUUUAUUAGACAGUAAUAAGCUACCUUUCCCAACAGUAGCAGCCCCCUCGGGGUCCUGGAAACCUUGCUUCCAAAAUUCCUUAGAGAGGACGCUAUCCUCACACCCCUCCCUACUCACAGGUAUACAGUCAGCCCCCCCUCACAGGCCCGGGGCAGCCACUCUUCCUGCCCACGGGUCUGGUCCCCACACUUUAAUAAAACCACCAUUUUGCACCAAAGACGUCUCAAGAAUCCUUUCUUGGUCAUUGGCUCUGGACCUCACCUUUAUUCCAAAACUUCAUCAGGCUGGAUUAAGCAAAUUAUGUCAUAUUUGAUGUAACAUUACAUACUUAACAGAAAAACCAUGUGUUCUUAGGCACAACCUAUACAACCUGGUCAUGGAGAGUGUUGCACACAAGAAAUCAGUAAACUAGGACUACAUAAUUGUCAAGAGCUGGGCAGGUUCUAGGAUUUUACCCUACUUAAAAGCUAACAAGUUAGUCUAUUACAUCCUGUUUCAUGGCUGCUGACAGAAGACAUGAGACUUUAGGGCCAGAGACAAAGAGCUUCAUUCUUUACUCACACCAAAAGCAGCAGGUAGAGCUUAUCAUAUCCUCUUGUGCUGGUUGCGCAGGCCACCCAAGUCCUGUGAAGGCAAUGCAAAGGCCCUCCACGGGUGCCUCCACAACCACAGGGCUGCGAUUCAGCAGAGGAACAUUAAGCUUCGGGGUUCACUGCUUUUACAGAAAGCAGAAACAAGCUUGCUCUUCCCUGGGGAGAGAUGUUAGCUCAUCCACUGAUGAGCUAACAGCACAGCCCAGGCAGAGAGCACGCAAGCGUUCUCAGCGUACUUGGCAGGAAUCUGCAGGGAGCUCAGCACCCUCGAUGGAUUGCCGUUCCCAACAACAAAGUACAAGCUAAGCAUAAGACUUGAAGACCGAAACAAGAGAUGAAAAAAAAUGAUUUUGUUGGUGUCGUAAUAUUUUCUUUCGGAUUGUUCUGCGCUCUUGUCAUCUACAUAUCUACAUGUAUUCACGUGCAAGCGCUGGGCAGAGAACCCAGUCCAAUGGCAGUUUUCAGAAAACUGAGGAAGAGAAUUGUCCCCUCCUCCUGCUGUUACCAUCUCUGUUUCUUUCCCUUGUCAGAAUUUCUCCCUGGCCUUCCCACAAAUCAUGGGAAUGCAUAGGGUGCUCUUAGGCCCAGCAGCAUCACUCAUUGGUGAAUAAUGAUCAUUCAUGUCCUCUUUUUCAAUUCUUGUACAUUUUUGCCUUUUUUUUUGUACUUAGGGACACCUCUGUAUGAUAGAUGGGCAUCCUUAUCUUGUUACUAAUCUUAAUGUGAAAGCUUUUAAGGACUCACUUUUAGUAUGAUGAAUAGUUGUUGAAUGUAUCAAAUAUUUGUAUUUAUAUGUUGAGAUAAUCCUGUUUUUAAUUUUUAUCUGUUGAUAUAGUAAAUUUUAGUGAUCGUUUUCCUAAUUUUAAACUAGCCUUGCAUUCCUGGGAAACUUACUUUGGCCAUUAUGUAUUAUCUUUCUUAUCUUUUGAUGAAUUCUGUUCGCUAGUAGUUGGUUUUAAAGUUUUACAUUUGGGACGCCUGGGUGGCUUAGCAGUUUGGCGCCUGCCUUUGGCCCGGGGCGUGAUCCUGGGGUCCCAGAGUUGGGUCCCACAUCAGGUUCCCUUGCAUGGAGUCUGCUUUUGCCUCUGCCUAUGUCUCUCUCUCUCUGUGGUUCUCAUGAAUAGAAUAAAUAAAGUCCUAAAAAAAAAAAAAAA